rnacentral:rRNA from 1 species
CAGUCGCCGCGGUAAUACGAAGGGUGCAAGCGUUACUCGGAAUUACUGGGCGUAAAGCGUGCGUAGGUGGUGGUUUAAGUCCGUUGUGAAAGCCCUGGGUUCAACCUGGGAAUUGCAGUGGAUACUGGGUCACUAGAGUGUGGUAGAGGAUAGUGGAAUUUCCGGUGUAGCAGUGAAAUGCGUAGAGAUCGGAAGGAACAUCUGUGGCGAAGGCGACUAUCUGGGCCAACACUGACACUGAGGCACGAAAGCGUGGGGAGCAAACAGGAUUAGAGACCCCUGUAGUCCCUGUCUCUUAUAC